UACGGAGGAUCCAAGCGUUAUCCGGAUUUAUUGGGUUUAAAGGGUGCGUAGGCGGGUUUGUAAGUCAGUGGUGAAAUCGAGCAGCUUAACUGUUCCACUGCCAUUGAUACUGCAGAUCUUGAGUUCGUUUGAAGUGGGCGGAAUGUGUAGUGUAGCGGUGAAAUGCUUAGAUAUUACACAGAACACCAAUUGCGUAGGCAGCUCACUAAACCGAAACUGACGCUGAGGCACGAAAGUGUGGGGAUCAAAC
rnacentral:rRNA from 1 species